UCUAAAAAAUGUUCAUAAUAGUUAGUUGUUUCGCUUUCAUCUCUGUCUAACACACACUGAGUUGUGCUAAAAUAAUUAAAACUUGAUAAUUUGCAUGCAUGUGUGUGUAUGAGUCUGUGUGUCUAUGUAUAUUUUGUGUGUGUCUGUGUGUUUGUGCGUUCGAGAGCUGAUAAAAAAAAAGCAUGAGACCAUAUCAUGACGAUGUUUGUGAUAAUUACGAGAGUCUGUGUGAGUUUCACACAUGUGUGUAUGUAUGUGUGGAUCACAUAUAAAAUCAAUCUAAGCGAUUUGGCAGCAACAACAACAACAAUAACUGCAGCUGCUGUGCAAGGCAUCAAGGUGUGUGUGUAAUGAAGUGUGCGUGAGACGGGGGCGUUUUAUGCCAAGGUCAACUGUCUGCAAAGCCAGACGACAACGCUGUGUGCGUAACAAAUGACAGGCAGCGUACGCCAGAGGGCGCCACUGUGAGAAGACUGGAAGUAAACAAGGACAAACUAGCCAAGCACGCACAAAGCGCGACACUUUCCAAGUGCUGUCCCCUCUACGCUACUUCAAAUGUUUCCAUUCGAUUUGCGACUGUUCAAUUAAAGUGUGGCCAGCCUCUCGUCGGAGAUCUGGAACACAAUUGGCAAACAUGACAAAAUGAAGUUUCCACACACACAUACACACAUGUUAAUGCUUAGUGUAAUGUGUAAUUGUAAAUGUAAUUGGUUAGUGUAUUGCAUGUGUAUACGUGUUUAUUACCUGAACAACAAUUUCCUCAUGUAAACAGCAGCAGCAAAAAAAUGCAGUAUACCCGGCACCUGCGAUUGGAAGCUGGACGAUCUUUGGCAGCAGUAAAAACAAAAACCAAAAAAAUAGGUACUAAAUGCAGCAAAAACAAACGACACACACACACACACGCACGUACACUCACUAACUAACAAUAACACGCAGCGGCGACGUCAACGUCAACAGCGGCAGCGACGCGAACUGGAACGGGGAACGAACACACAACGCACUUCCACUUUUCUAUGCAAUUGCAACUAAGCUGUGUUGUUGCUUUUGAUGGAUUUCAGUGGCGUUGGCGGCACCGGAACCGGGCGCGUACGUCAAGUUUUUUCUCUUUUCGUUUUUUUUUUGUAUGUGUCUUUGGGCUUUCAGCUUUUGCUUCGACUUUGUGGGGGAGGAGGGAAUAGGGGGGUUUUUAGUUGGUUGCUUGUUCGUCGGUCGCUGAUUUCAAUUUGUGUAUGUCUUGUGCGCGCGCAAGAAAGUGACAGCUAGACACACAUACACAUACAACGACACAUGCACACACACACACAGUUUUAUAUACAGCGAAAUGUUCCUGCUGCUGCUGCUGUCGCUGCUCUGCUUCUGUCGUCUGCUGCUGCUGCUCUGCCUCUGCUGCUGACCUUUCGCACUUUAUGAUUACUUUUCUAGUGCCCUUUCCACUGCCACAGCUGUUUUUUGAUCACGAAUUUCUGGUUACCCAGCGUUUUGCGUUGAAUACGUUUUUCUUUUCUAUUGUAUUUUUUGUGUGCUUUAUUUUUUGUAUUAUGGAUUGAUUUAUACUGCGUGUAUAAGAAGGGGACCCGAGAUCUAUGCCGAAAAAGCACAC